rnacentral:rRNA from 1 species
AGCGAACGCUGGCGGCAGGCUUAACACAUGCAAGUCGAACGGGCACUUCGGUGCUAGUGGCAGACGGGUGAGUAACACGUGGGAACGUACCUUUCGGUUCGGAAUAAUUCAGGGAAACUUGGACUAAUACCGGAUACGCCCUUCGGGGGAAAGAUUUAUCGCCGAUAGAUCGGCCCGCGUCUGAUUAGCUAGUUGGUGAGGUAAUGGCUCACCAAGGCGACGAUCAGUAGCUGGUCUGAGAGGAUGAUCGGCCACAUUGGGACUGAGACACGGCCCAAACUCCUACGGGAGGCAGCAGUGGGGAAUAUUGGACAAUGGGCGCAAGCCUGAUCCAGCCAUGCCGCGUGAGUGAUGAAGGCCUUAGGGUUGUAAAGCUCUUUUGUCCGGGAAGAUAAUGACUGUACCGGAAGAAUAAGCCCCGGCUAACUUCGUGCCAGCCGCCGCCGUAACAC